rnacentral:rRNA from 1 species
UAGGGAAUAUUGCAAAAUGGGCGAAAGCCCGAUGCAGCAACGCCGCGUGGGCGAUGAAGGCCUUCGGGUCGUAAAGCCCUUUUUGAGGGGAUGAGGAAGGACAGUACCCUCAGAAUAAGCCUCGGCUAACUACGUGCCAGCAGCCGCGGUAAAACGUAGGAGGCGAGCGUUAUCCGGAUUUACUGGGCGUAAAGCGCGUGCAGGCGGAUUGGAGAGUUGGAUGUGAAAGCUCCCGGCUUAACUGGGAGAGGUCGUUCAAUACUUCCAGUCUUAAGUGCAGUAGAGGGAAGUGGAAUUCCGGGUGUAGUGGUGAAAUGCGUAGAUAUACGGAGGAACACCAGUGGCGAAAGCGGCUUCCUGGACUGUAACUGACGCUCAGACGCGAAAGCUAGGGUAGCAAACG